UACGUAGGGGGCAAGCGUUGUCCGGAAUCAUUGGGCGUAAAGCGCGUGUAGGCGGCCAUGUAAGUCCGCUCUGAAAGCCCGGGGCUCAACCCCGGGAGGCGGAUGGAUACUGCAUGGCUCGAGUACGGAAGAGGCGAGUGGAAUUCCCGGUGUAGUGGUGAAAUGCGUAGAUAUCGGGAGGAACACCAGUGGCGAAGGCGACUACCUGGCCUGUUCUUGACGCUGAGGCGCGAAAGCUGGGGGAGCAAACGGG
rnacentral:rRNA from 1 species